rnacentral:rRNA from 1 species
CCUACGGGAGGCAGCAGUGAGGAAUAUUGGUCAAUGGGCGAGAGCCUGAACCAGCCAAGUCGCGUGAAGGAUGAAGGAUCUCUGGUUUGUAAACUUCUUUUAUAUGGGAGUAAAGUGAGGAACGUGUUCCUUUUUGUAUGUACCAUAUGAAUAAGCAUCGGCUAACUCCGUGCCAGCAGCCGCGGUAAUACGGAGGAUGCGAGCGUUAACCGGAUUUAUUGGGUUUAAAGGGAGCGUAGGUGGGUAGUUAAGUCAGUGGUGAAAGUUUGUGGCUCAACCAUAAAAUUGCCGUUGAUACUGGUAGACUUGAGUAUAUUUGAGGUAGGCGGAAUGCGUGGUGUAGCGGUGAAAUGCAUAGAUAUCACGCAGAACUCCGAUUGCGAAGGCAGCUUACUAAACUAUAACUGACACUGAGGCACGAAAGCGUGGGGAUCAAACAGGAUUAGAUACCCCAGUAGUC